AACACAUACAAGUCGAGCGGAUGAGUGGAGCUUGCUCCAUGAUUCAGCGGCGGACGGGUGAGUAAUGCCUAGGAAUCUGCCUGGUAGUGGGGGACAACGUUUCGAAAGGAACGCUAAUACCGCAUACGUCCUACGGGAGAAAGCAGGGGACCUUCGGGCCUUGCGCUAUCAGAUGAGCCUAGGUCGGAUUAGCUGGUUGGUGAGGUAAUGGCUCACCAAGGCGACGAUCCGUAACUGGUCUGAGAGGAUGAUCAGUCACACUGGAACUGAGACACGGUCCAGACUCCUACGGGAGGCAGCAGUGGGGAAUAUUGGACAAUGGGCGAAAGCCUGAUCCAGCCAUGCCGCGUGUGUGAAGAAGGUCUUCGGAUUGUAAAGCACUUUAAGUUGGGAGGAAGGGCAGUAAGCGAAUACCUUGCUGUCUUGACGUUACCGACAGAAUAAGCACCGGCUAACUUCGUGCCAGCAGCCGCGGUAAUA
rnacentral:rRNA from 1 species